CCUACGGGGUGCAGCAGUGGGGAAUAUUGCACAAUGGGCGAAAGCCUGAUGCAGCAACGCCGCGUGAGCGAUGACGGCCUUCGGGUCGUAAAGCUCUGUCAUCAAGGAAGAUAAUGACGGUACUUGAGGAGGAAGCCCCGGCUAACUACGUGCCAGCCCCCGCGGUAAUACGUAGGGGGCUAGCGUUAUCCGGAAUUACUGGGGGUAAAGGGUGCGUAGGUGGUUUCUUAAGUCAGAGGGGAAAGGCUACGGCUCAACCGUAGGAAGGCUUUGAAACCGGGAGACUUGAGUGCAGGAGAGGAGAGUGGAAUUCCUAGUGUAGCGGUGAAAUGCGUAGAUAUUAGGAGGAACACCAGUUGCGAAGGCGGCUCUCUGGACUGUAACUGACACUGAGGCACGAAAGCGUGGGGAGCAAACAGGAUUAGAUACCCCUGUAGUC
rnacentral:rRNA from 1 species